rnacentral:rRNA from 1 species
UACGUAGGGUGCAAGCGUUAAUCGGAAUUACUGGGCGUAAAGCGUGCGCAGGCGGUUUUGUAAGUUUGUCGUGAAAGCCCCGGGCUCAACCUGGGGAAUUGCGAUGAAGACUGCAAGGCUUGAAUCUGGCAGAGGGGGGUAGAAUUCCACGUGUAGCAGUGAAAUGCGUAGAGAUGUGGAGGAACACCGAUGGCGAAGGCAGCCCCCUGGGUCAAGAUUGACGCUCGAUGCACGAAAGCGUGGUGAGCAAACAGG